UCCUGCGUUAGCCCUCUGACAGAGCAGACUUUCCUGAUAAGUUUGUAUAUUUGGUGAUGAGGGUGGAUAACUAUAGUAACUAAUGAAAAACCCAUACAGAUAAUGGCAAGAAUAUGCAAACUUCACAAAGACAACAAUUGGUAACAGGACAGAACGCAAAAAACACUGGAGCCAUGUGGUGGCUAGCUAACUGGUAGAACCUGAUGAAAUUUCAGGAGAAUGUGACACAUGCGGUUAAGAUUAUUGUUUCUUAUAUGGAUAACCUGGUCUAGUUGUGCCAGACAGAAGCAGUAAAACUAAAGUAUAUUUGUCAGCCGAUCACAGACACCCAUUGCAUGCAGAGCUGUGCUUUAGAUAGUUAAAGAAAAUUUAAUGUAAACAUUCACACAGGUCACUCACAGGAUUUCACUUGUUUUUGCUAUUAGUACAUGUUUUUUUUUUAAUCAAAGACAUCCUUUUAUCAAAGCACAAUGUGUAUAUGGAGCUUGGCUUUGUAUGAUCAUGGAUUUCAUACCCAGUCAAGGCCUUUUAUCUGCUGUUAAACAUGUUGUACAGUUUGACGUUAUGUUUAUAAAAUGUAGAAUUUAUUUUUGAUGUUGACAUUUCAUGUUGUUUUUAAAUGUUUCAUGUAUUUCCACAUUGUUAUCCUAAAAGAGAUUUUAUUUAACAGUAUGUUGUAAUAAUGUUUAUUUUCUGUCUGUCGAAUU